CAUCCGACACACUACUCACGCAGUGACCAGGCUGCUCCUUGGGGUGUUAACUUCCUGCCAGGAAGUGGACGCACCCACCAGGGCACUUUUCUGACAACGCUGUCUGUGAAAUACAUGGAAGCAUUUCCUGCCUCUGCGUCCUGUCCUUUCCCCUGCAGUGGAUUACAAAGAAGGAGAGCAACUGAGCAGCAGGAGAAAGGAAAGUGGAUUCUGCAGCCUGGACCUCGAAGCCCUGAGAGGAGGGAGAUUAUUUCCAUCCAAUGGAGCACCCUGUAAAGUAGACAUUGCUUGACAGGUGAGGAAUCUGAUUCUCAGAAGAGCUGUACACACAUGGAGACAAAGGAAGAAUCAGGACUUGAUCCAGGAGAAUUGUAGUUCAUGGCCUCGAGGAUGGCCCAGUGACCCUGGCUCCCAGAGUCCACACCAACCGCAGCAGCCAACUUCAACCAGAGCUGGACUUAAAGGCUUGCUUCUCAUACACAAUACCACAGAAAGAAGCAGUGGCUGUCACUGCCAAUACUGGAUUACAAAAAGACUGUGGCUUCCAUCGUCAGCCUCAAACUCUCUCUCUCUCUCUCUCUCUCUCUCUCUCUCCCUCUCUCUCUCCCCAUCAUAAUGAAGGAACCAAGUGACCAUAGGGAACUUCUCUGUCUGGCAUCUGUCGAAAGCCAGUGAGAACCUGCAGCCAUCACUCCAUCGAGUCUUUGAAGAACUGCCUCUUCCAACAUUCAGAUAAGUAGGCUUGGAUAAGGAUUCUCCCAGUCCAGGCUUCAGGUGGCAGCAUUCCUGGUGCACCUCCAUUGCACCUGCGAGACACCCUGAAUAGAGACACCCAGCUAAAUCACAGCCAAAUUCCCAGCCCACAAACUCUGCCAGGCGACACAUGGAUGCUGUAUGAAGCUGCACAGCCCGAGGAUGAUUUGUUAGGCAGCAGCAGAUAACAGGAACACAUGUCUCAUUUCAGAGUCCAUGCUCCCCGCUCGUGUAUCUGGCUGCUUUGCAGUCCUCCACUUCAGCCACCAAACUACUUACCCCGUACCCAAAUGACAGAGACACUCAACAAAUCUGCACCUGAUUCUGGAAAAGGAAGAUAAUAUUAGAAUGCACAUCUUGAGCCAGCACCUCUGAAUGAAAUAAUUAGUGUAGUUUACUACCUGCCAGGGUUUUCAGUCAACGUUUUAAUGAAAUUAUUGUCAUUUAAAAUGAUUGUUACAGUAAAUUGAAUACUGCCUCAGUCUGCCUUAGACUGAAAGUUCCCCGAGGUGCCCUGCUCAUUAGGAAGGCAUGGUGAAGGAGGAUGCCUCACAGAAAGCUGCCUUCACAUAGUCAUUUUACACUCGAACACCGUCAAGAGCCAGGCCCUUGGAGGGAUUCCCAAACAAAUAUAUUUGCAAUUUUUUAAGUCAUGCCUUGAGAUGAGCACCCAGAGAGAUAAAGACAGAGUGAACCAACUAACUCGGGAGAAUAAUAGAAAAUCUCUGGGAGAAAAUACCCCUACAUCAGGCACUUGGGGAGCAGAAGACUUAGACCUGAAUAUAGUGCAUUUGGGGAUAAGAGUCAGUGGGUGAUUUUCUUUCACUUCAUUCAUUUGCCUAUGAACUCAGCAAAUAUGUAUUAGGCAGGCUCUAGCUCUACUGUAGAAGUCUCCAAGACACAGAAUAAAAGACACUGUCAAUCCAAAGCACAACAUUAAGUGGACAUUUAGUUGACCAGGUAGGAAGGUGAGGCAAAACAGUAAGAGGAGAUUAGAGAAAUCUAAUAACACGAGUGGUUGGAUUCUUACAGAAAGCCUUGCUGAACCACUGGGACUGGAUGUGACUUUGGGGAACCAUGUUUGCCAUCAUCCAAAAGGUAUUUUGAGCAUGAAGGAGGGUACGACCCAUGAGUUAGCCUGAAGCUGGCACUGCUCAGGUGAACUCGGAGCUCUGGGCUUCAGAGACCUGAGCAGAGCUGGACACUCCCUGCUAAGCAGAAAGAAUCAUGUGAGAGACCUCUCUGAGUAGAAGUUAAUACAGUUGGUCAAGUGUGGUGGCAGUAGGGGCUACUAGAGUACACGCUCAAUGGAGAUUUGUUGAAAGGAGAAAAGAUAGGAGGAAGAGGAGAGAGGGAAGUCAGGUUGCCAACAGUAAACCCAACCUCUGGGAAGUGAUUUAGUUCUAUCGAAACUCCUAGAGAUAGUGAAGUCUCUUAAAAUCUUUGAUGUUGACCUUGCAUCUUGCUUGACCUUUUACCAUUAGCACAAUUCUCUGAAAGAUCUUUGAGGAUCUUCGUAGAGUGAGAGGUCAUGGGCUUGAAUCUUAGUCCUUUUUUCAAGUGUACAUUUGCAUCACUUCUCAGCCUUUUGGCUAAGAUCAAGUAUAGUAUCACGCAUACGUUUGCAGUAUGUAACAGUUACCUUUGUUUGGGGGAAUUAUUAUAUAUAUAUGUCAUUUCCUGAUCAUUUUCCAUCCCUUUACCUCCCAUUAGGGUUAAGAUCUAAAAUGUCCCCCGAGAUUCUCAUGCAUUCUGAGGCAGGGCCUUUGGGAGGUAACUGGGUCCCGGGCACUGUACUGGUCAGUGGAUGCGGCCACUGGUCAGUGCCACCGUUCAGUGUGCAGUGAGGAGGUGGGACCCAGCUGGGAGAUGAAGUCCCUGGUGUCUCUGCCUCCUGGCCCUGCCUUUCUCUCUCUGCUUCCUGCCUGACCAGAACAGCUUUGCUCUGCUUGCCCUUUCUGCCAGGUGGUUUCUGGGUUUAGGCCUGGUGACUAUGGACUGAACGUGUGCGCCAGAGUAAGCCUCUCCUCUCUCAAGUUAUGGGUGUCAGAUACUGUGUCUCAGCAACAAGAACGGACGAAGACACCUCUUCUGGCUACCUCCCCUCUCUCCCCUGCCCUGCACCCUCCCCCUUUCUCCAAAAACCCUCCCUGUUUCCUACCACCUCUCCUUUAUUCGAAUCUGUAAUUCAUUUAUAUUUCUGGCUUCUCAAAUAGGAGAAACCACAUGAUAUGUGACUUUGGCGACUGACUUAUUUUACUUAACGUUGGAGUCUCAAUUCCACCCAUUUUUCCUGCAGAUGACACGAUUUCCUUCUUCUCCCCAGCUGAAUAUUACUCUGUCGUGUAUACACAAAAUAUUUUCUUUGUCUGUUAGCCCUCUGAUGGACUUCUAAGUGUUUCCAGAGCUUAGCUAGUGUGAGCUGCGUGGCUAUAACCUGGGUGUGCACCUGUCGAUGUAGUGUGAUAUUUUAAGUCUUGUGGGAAUACACCCAGGAGAGGUACACGGGGUCAGAUGGAACCCUCACUUCUAUCCAUUAUUAGUAGUAGCAGUAGUAGUAGUAGCAGUAGUAGUAGUAGUAGUAGUACCGGGGAUCAA